rnacentral:snRNA from 1 species
CUUUUCUCAUAGACUGUUCAGAC